rnacentral:lncRNA from 1 species
GGUAAACACGAGCACCAGACCUGACUGGGUGGUUGAGGGAGCUCCUGGUGAAAUGUGCUGAGGCUUCUGCUGAGGUUUCUACCUCAGCUCCACGGCCUGGCCAGUUCAAUGGAUUGAAGAAAAUGUUCACGGAAGGAAGAUGAUUAAUUGAUCCAGAGGGCCUGUAGCAACUCUGUUUAACAUGCUAGAUGAGCCAGUCUUAUUCAGUGAUGACUAAGGAUCUAGAGAAAACUGGUGUCAGGUUGGUCUUCUUCUUCCCACCUAUUUUCAGUUGGCCUGCAGUUCCUAGGAUGUGUAUCCUGUAUGCUGGUCACCGGAAGAUAGGCAAAUUUUUGCUUUGUUGCUGGUUCUGGGACAACAGCCAUGAAAUCAUAUUUAAAGAGAAGAAUCCUGGAGAUAUCAUUGCCUCAGCCUAAAGAAAAGAAUCAACAAAAUAAUGCUCUUGAAGCAGAAGGUGCCAAUGGUGAAACCAGGAGGCAGAGAGUUUCAAAAUCAUAUGUGUGUCACUCUCAUGAAAACAAAAACCAGCUGCAA